AGCGAACGCUGGCGGCAGGCCUAACACAUGCAAGUCAAACGAAGUCUUCGGACUUAGUGGCGGACGGGUGAGUAACACGUGGGAACGUGCCUUUAGGUUCGGAAUAACUCAGGGAAACUUGUGCUAAUACCGAAUGUGCCCUUCGGGGGAAAGAUUUAUCGCCUUUAGAGCGGCCCGCGUCUGAUUAGCUAGUUGGUGAGGUAAAGGCUCACCAAGGCGACGAUCAGUAGCGGGUCUGAGAGGAUGAUCAGCCACAUUGGGACUGAGACACGGCCCAAACUCCUACGGGAGGCAGCAGUGGGGAAUCUUGCGCAAUGGGCGAAAGCCUGACGCAGCCAUGCCGCGUGAAUGAUGAAGGUCUUAGGAUUGUAAAAUUCUUUCACCGGGGACGAUAAUGACGGUACCCGGAGAAGAAGCCCCGGCUAACUUCAUGCCAGCCGCCGCCGUAAUAC
rnacentral:rRNA from 1 species